UACGUAGGGUCCGAGCGUUGUCCGGAUUUAUUGGGCGUAAAGAGCUCGUAGGCGGCUCGGUAAGUCGGAUGUGAAAACUCGGGGCUCAACCCCGAGACGCCAUCCGAUACUGCUGUGGCUUGAGUCUGGUAGGGGAGAACGGAAUUCCUGGUGUAGCGGUGAAAUGCGCAGAUAUCAGGAGGAACACCAGUGGCGAAGGCGGCUCACUGGACUGGUAUUGACGCUGAGGUGCGAAAGCGUGGGGAGCAAACAGG
rnacentral:rRNA from 1 species